CCCCGCGNUGGCGGCGUGCUUACACAUGCAAGUCGAACGAAGCAAUUUUCUACGAUCCCUUCGGGGUGACGGAUUAUUGACUGAGUGGCGGACGGGUGAGUAACGCGUGGGUAACCUACCUUGUACAGGGGGACAACAGUUGGAAACGACUGCUAAUACCGCAUAAGCGCACAGCAUCGCAUGAUGCAGUGUGAAAAGUUUUUUCGGUACAAGAUGGACCCGCGUCUGAUUAGCUAGUUGGUGAGGUAACGGCCCACCAAGGUCGACGAUCAGUAGCCGACCUGAGAGGGUGACCGGCCACAUUGGGACUGAGACACGGCCCAAACUCCUACGGGAGGCAGCAGUGGGGAAUAUUGCACAAUGGGCGAAAGCCUGAUGCAGCGACGCCGCGUGAGCGAAGAAGUAUUUCGGUAUGUAAAGCUCUAUCAGCNGGGAAGAUAAUGACG
rnacentral:rRNA from 1 species